rnacentral:rRNA from 1 species
CCCUUAGAUGUCCUGGGCUGCACGCGCGCUACACUGAUGUGUCCAGUAAGCACCUAACCUCUUCCGAAGGGAACGGGUAACCUUAGCAAAGCACAUCGUGAUGGGGAUAGAUUAUUGCAAUUAUUAGUCUUGAACGAGGAAUUCCUAGUAAGCACAAGUCAUCAGCUUGUGUUGAUUACGUCCCUGCCCUUUGUACACACCGCCCGUCGCUCCUACCGAGUGGGUGAUCCGGUGAACUAUUCGGACUCCGGUUAUUCCAGCAUUUGGUUUUGCUGGGGAAAGUUUCGUGAACCUUAUCACUUGGAGGAAGGAGAAGUCGUAACA